AGAGCCUCAUUUUCAUGAGUGGAUGCAGCAAGUGAACGUGCUUUUUCACAUUACUCCAUCACCAUCCCCUUCUGCCGACUCUGGAGAGCAACUGUGCGCAAAGCAUCCAGCUGGGAUUCCCACUAACCAACUCCGAUUCCAGGGCUGAGAGAGUUCAGGAUCUGAGGAAUGACUCAAAGACCACAUGGAGUUGGGCUGUGCAUGUUUUCUUUGAGUGUGGGCCAGUAGAGACCGUGGCCUCACAUAAUUUUUCUGCCGGGUGUGGAAGUGUGCCACAGAAAGAUGAUUCAUGAGAAGAAAUUGUCGACUUUCUGCCUGGAACGGAGUGGAAAAAACUUGGUUGAAAAAAUCCCAGACAUGCACACAGAAGACACAUGGAACCAAAUUUAUAUCUUUAGCUUUGGGAAUCUACAUUCAUCAUUUCUCUCACUUGACGUGAAAAAGGGACCUCCCUCUUCUCCUGAGAGCCAAACCGAGCGCGGCAACAACUCAGCAGCAGCAGCAGGUCCCAAGGAGAUGCGGAGUAACUGGCACAGGGCGCCCCGCAUCCUGCCCGCGGGUUACUUUGAAAUGACUCCUGCAGGUUUUCCUGUUGUUCAUUUAAUCAGAGUUACCUCCUGAAAGAAGCGACGGGGGCAGCGAAGCACUCUUGUAAGGUGUGAUUUGUCCUGGGUCUGCUGCUCCACAUGGGCGGCCCUGGCCACUUCCAUUAAUAGUAACAGGGACACACUGCAUAACCACUAAGGGUCAGCUACCACCCUGGGCGCUGAAACAAAGAAACAGAAUUCCUGGCCUGGAAAGACCUUAAAGGUAAAGAAGCAUCUCAUACUCUAUUGCCCUCCCCGAGCUUGUCCAGGUCUGUCAUGUAGAAUGUGCUUAAUAGAUAUUUGAUAUACCAAUGAGUGAAUAAAUGGAUGUACCAUCUAUUCAUAGAUAAUUCAUGCCUGUAGAGAGAGAUGAGUGACAAAGUAUUAAAGAGGAAGGAAUUGAGACAGCUGUCAACUGCCUGCUCCCAGGGAGGUGUUCCUGACUGCUGAGAAAGGGCUGGGACUGGGCCAGGGCUUCCUUCUGGGUCUACAGGACUUCCUGGGGCUCAGAGGUGGGGCCUUGAAGGUCUGGCCAGGUGGUUGUAAAGGUGGGACAAGAUCAUUCACAACCCUGUGCUUCUCUCUCCAAGUGGCCUGGAGCUGCCAGCCUGGGUCAAGAUUCCAGAAUCAAGGGUGUGGGCCUGAAAGGGGAACAGCCCACCUCCAGAGCAAAGGGAUGCAGCCUGGGGCGAGUGGCGGCUUUGGGCUGUGGUUGUCAGGGUAUGUCCAAGGUCAAACCACAAGUUACAGCUGUGCGCUCAGCCCUCCACUUACUUAUUUUAUUUAAUUUAUUUUUCAUCUGCAAAUCUCAGACUCCCAAUUUAUCCCUUCCCACCUCCUUCCCCCUCUGUUAACCAUCAGUUUGUUUUCUAUGCCAAG